UACGGAAGGCAGCAGUGGGGAAUAUUGCACAAUGGGCGCAAGCCUGAUGCAGCCAUGCCGCGUGUAUGAAGAAGGCCUUCGGGUUGUAAAGUACUUUCAGCGGGGAGGAAGGCGGUGGAGUUAAUAGCUUCACCGAUUGACGUUACCCGCAGAAGAAGCACCGGCUAACUCCGUGCCAGCAGCCGCGGUAAUACGGAGGGUGCAAGCGUUAAUCGGAAUUACUGGGCGUAAAGCGCACGCAGGCGGUCUGUCAAGUCGGAUGUGAAAUCCCCGGGCUUAACCUGGGAACUGCAUUCGAAACUGGCAGGCUAGAGUCUUGUAGAGGGGGUAGAAUUCCAGGUGUAGCGGUGAAAUGCGUAGAGAUCUGGAGGAAUACCGGUGGCGAAGGCGGCCCCUGGGACAAAGACUGACGCUCAGGGUGCGAAAGCGUGGGGAGCAAACAGGAUUAGAUACC
rnacentral:rRNA from 1 species